rnacentral:rRNA from 1 species
GAGUGANCGGCAACAGCUCAAAUUUGAAAUCUGGCUCUCGGGCCCNNNNUUGUAAUUUGUAGAGGAUGCUUUUGGUGAGGUGCCUUCCGAGUUCCCUGGAACGGGACGCCAUAGAGGGUGAGAGCCCCGUCUGGUUGGACGCCGAUCCUCUGUAAAGCUCCUUCGACGAGUCGAGUAGUUUGGGAAUGCUGCUCUAAAUGGGAGGUAUAUGUCUUCUAAAGCUAAAUACCGGCCAGAGACCGAUAGCGCACAAGUAGAGUGAUCGAAAGAUGAAAAGAACUUUGAAAAGAGAGUUAAAAAGUACGUGAAAUUGUUGAAAGGGAAGCGCUUGUGACCAGACUUGGGCUUGGUUGAUCAUCCGGGGUUCUCCCCGGUGCACUCUUCCGGCUCAGGCCAGCAUCAGUUCGCCUCGGGGGAUAAAGGCUUCGGGAAUGUGGCUCUCUCCGGGGAGUGUUAUAGCCCGCUGCGUAAUACCCUGUGGCGGACUGAGGUUCGCGCAUUCGCAAGGAUGCUGGCGUAAUGGUCAUCAGUGACCCGUCUUGAA